UAAGAUUUUAUCUACUUGUAUUUCCAUGGUGACAUUCCAUCAGUUUCGAUGGUUGCGUAGCAUCACUAUUAUAUAAAGGACCUUCAAACCUUCAAACAUUCAACCUAGAGCCUCGCAGCACUAUAACAACCUAGUUAUAAUAAGCUUCUGUACCUUGUCAUCAGUCACGCGGCUUGCUAGAACUAUGAUUUCAAAAACAAAGAUGCUAAUGCUUAGCUCGUGCAGGAAAACCAGGCCAGCACUCCAGUGCCAUUUUAGCAGUCCUCCAUCAGUAUACCAGCCAGAAAAAUCGAGGACCUCGAUCAAAGAAAGCAAGAUGGAGGAUUGGGCACCUCAUCCUCGCACAGGGAUUUAUGUCCCAAAAGGCCACGAGAGGGUGAUGGACGAUGUCCCAGAGAAAGCAGCUUCAUUAAAUCAGACUUAUUGGCUAAGGAAUGUUGAUGGUGUUGAGAAACCAGACCCUGACACACCCCAUGAUCCUUGCUUGUCUACCAAUCUUUCUUGAGUUGGUUAACAAGGCUUCGUUCCAGUUUCAUGCUAACCACGAGAUGAAAACUUAGGAAAUAAAUUAUUAAAGUUGUUGUGGCCCUGAAUGGUAGAACAUUACUAGCCUACAUAUGCAAGUAAUUAAUAACACAAUUAGUCCAAGAAAUUUACAUAGUCCUUUUCCUUUUCCGGGAUGGUUCUGUUGUUGCUACACUCAUGCAAUAUUCACAUUAAUGGAUGAUUCUGCAGCA